UGCUGUCGUCAGCUCGUGUUGUGAAAUGUUGGGUUAAGUCCCGCAACGAGCGCAACCCUUAUCCUUGUUUGCCAGCACUUCGGGUGGGAACUUCAGGGAGACUGCCGGUGAUAAACCGGAGGAAGGUGGGGACGACGUCAAGUCAUCAUGGCCCUUACGAGUAGGGCUACACACGUGCUACAAUGGCGCAUACAGAGGGCAGCCAACUUGCGAGAGUGAGCGAAUCCCAAAAAGUGCGUCGUAGUCCGGAUCGGAGUCUGCAACUCGACUCCGUGAAGUCGGAAUCGCUAGUAAUCGUGGAUCAGAAUGCCACGGUGAAUACGUUCCCGGGCCUUGUACACACCGCCCGUCACACCAUGGGAGUGGGCUGCAAAAGAAGUAGGUAGUUUAACCUUCGGGAGGACGCUUACCACUUUGUGGUUCAUGACUGGGGUGAAGUCGUAACAAGGUAACC
rnacentral:rRNA from 1 species